GAUGAACGCUGGCGGCGUGCCUAAUACAUGCCAGUCGAGCGAACGGACGAGAAGCUUGCUUUUCUGAUGUUAGCGGCGGACGGGUGAGUAACACGUGGAUAACCUACCUAUAAGACUGGGAUAACUUCGGGAAACCGGAGCUAAUACCGGAUAAUACUUUGAACCGCAUGGUUCAAAAGUGAAAGACGGUCUUGCUGUCACUUAUAGAUGGAUCCGCGCUGCAUUAGCUAGUUGGUAAGGUAACGGCUUACCAAGGCAACGAUGCAUAGCCGACCUGAGAGGGUGAUCGGCCACACUGGAACUGAGACACGGUCCAGACUCCUACGGGAGGCAGCAGUAGGGAAUCUUCCGCAAUGGGCGAAAGCCUGACGGAGCAACGCCGCGUGAGUGAUGAAGGUCUUCGGAUCGUAAAACUCUGUUAUUAGGGAAGAACAUAUGUGUAAGUAACUGUGCACAUCUUGACGGUACCUAAUCAGAAAGCCACGGCUAACUACGUG
rnacentral:rRNA from 1 species